ensembl:lncRNA
UUAUAAUAGUCAUCCACUUAAUGAAGACUCUAAAUAAGAUAAAUUGUAUUGUGAACAAAUCCAACAAGAAGAUUUUAAUAAAAGAAUCUUGCACUCAAGACUGAGCUUGAAGGACAAUUACGGAAUGGAAAUGAGUUGCUCAUGUUCCACAAGGCUAUGUUUUCAUCAAUUCAAUGAAGAUUCAGGCCUGCAUUGAAAUCCCAGCUCACUCCUGAUUAGUCACCUGCCUCAGGAGGCUAUAGCCCUCAGGGGGCUCUUGUCCUGGACUGACUUUGAGAAACUGAGGAAAGCUAUGGACACUUCUCCCAGUUCUGGAGUUCGGAAAUUCUAAAAUCAGUGUCAGCAGACUGUGCUCCUUCCGGAGGCUCUAGGAGAGAAUGGAUUUUCUUGCCUUUUCCUGCUUCUAGAGCCCACUUGCAUUCUUUGGUCUACGGCGACUGCCUCCAUCCUCAAAGCCAACAGCCUAACUUUGUCAAAUGUCUCUGCUGUCACCUUCCUAUCUCCAGCUUUCACUCUGCCUCUUCUGCAGCCCUCUUUCCCUUUGUAAGGGCUCCUGUGAUUACACUGGGCCCGCUUGGAUAAGCUAGGAUAAUCUUCCCAUCCCAAUGUACUUAACUCAAUCAUAUCUGCUAAGUCCCUUUUGUAUUUAAGGUAACAUACUCGCAGGUUCUGGGAAUUAGGACAUAGACAUCUUAGGGUGUGUGUGGGUGGGGGAAUGGGACAUUAUUCUGUCUACACAGCAUCCAUUUAUUGUCAUCUCUGUAACACACACUAGUUCUUGGUUGAUUAUCAUUACUGUCACCAUCAGUCAAAUAAAAUUAAUAACUGUGGACGUCAGUUAAGCAGUUUCAACUUCUAGCAUUUGGUAGGACUCCAAUAGCCACUCCAUGAACUAUGAAAAACUUCUGAAAUUAGAUAUUUAUACCCAUUUAAUAAUGAUGUUUCCAAUCCUCUAAUGUAAAACCUGCAUACUAUGGAAACAUGGUCAAAUGAGCCUGUAUUUCGAGACCAACUGA